rnacentral:rRNA from 1 species
CGUGGGUAACCGUGCCCAAGAGACUGGGAGUAACACCUGGAACAGAUGCUAAUACCGGAUAACAACACUAGACGCAUGUCUAGNGUUUAAAAGAUGGUUCUGCUAUCACUCUUGGAUGGACCUGCGGUGCAUUAGCUAGUUGGUAAGGUAACGGCUUACCAAGGCAAUGAUGCAUAGCCGAGUUGAGAGACUGAUCGGCCACAUUGGGACUGAGACACGGCCCAAACUCCUACGGGAGGCAGCAG